GUGCUCUUGGCUAAUCAUUUAAAUAAGUGAAGGGCACUUGAGUGUACAGAAUGCAUAUCCAGCAGGAAAGCUGAUGGAAGUUAUUUUUUCUGAAUCUCUCUUAAGAUGACUCAGAAGAUAAACAAGCACAGCGAGCCCGGGCAUGCAAAGGCAGGUAGCAAAGACCUUUACACUGACGGCAUUGACUUCUUCACUGGACCAAAAAGGGUCCAACCUGGAGGACUGCGAUGCUGCUCUGAGACCCUCUUCCACCUGCCCUCCCUGGUCCUACUAGGUUAUUACAACAUAUUACAACUCUAGGAAUCUUAUAAUACCACCAAGGCAAUUAAUGAGGUGGGCUAUGCUGCAGCUGUGCUGUACUUCAUUUUGUCUGGAGGACUACAAAGACCAGAAGAUAAGCAGAGGAUAGAGUGAGGAGAAAACAAAUGGCAAAACACCACAAAGACAAAAUGUAAUUAUAAGAGCUUGAUCCUGAAGUCACAGAAGUGUCUGCAGAAUCUUGACCUCUCGAUCUACUUCUAGUGCCAAAGCCUUACACCAUAGAACAAAAGCAGAGACCCUGAGACAGCCAGAUUGACUGGUGACAGCCCAAGGAACCACUGUUUUCCCCAGAAACAUAUGUAGCUGAGAGACAUCCAUCUACUAUAGAUACAGUACUGUUGCCUUCCAGAGUGGUGACAGAACAGGAUGAGACAUCUGCACUUGAGACAAGCCCCACAAGAAACAGGACCAUGGAAGGCACAAGCAGCAAAAAUGAGGGAGGUACACCAGGAACACCUUCAGCAUCUGCGCUGGGCACCCUCAUCCAGUGGCCAUCAGCUGAAAUGUGGUAAUUGAAAGGGGAAAAGGAGAUGCUUGGCCAAGAGUUUGACAGAGGAGGGACGAAGGACCUCUGAGGGCCAUGGAGAGGGGCAGUUCCAGUUCAUAGUGUAAGUUGUGAAGUCAGUCCUUCACACCAAGGUACAACAUUGAUCACGCUGUAUCUGAAGAUCACUGAGACCUAUUGAUGUCCUCAGAGACCAGUUCAUCCCUCCCUUAUCCCAGGCUUUUUCCCAAACUUCUGCUGUUCAAAGUUACAGGGUUAUUGAAACAUCCUGCUGCCACAAAGCUCAAGGGGAUGCUGUAGGGCCAAGGCAGGAAAGUCCCCGCAGCGGCUGGCAUAUGGGAGAGAAGAGAGUGUAGGGAGACCAGUGUGAGCAGUCUCUAAUCUAAAGUAUGCCUUACCACUCCAAGUUUCAGCAAUUUGUCUGUACUAAAGGUAAUGAAGUUGUGUUGGCAUGCUGUACUAAAGGGCUGAAUCCAGCACCCAUUCAGUAGGUGACAAUUUUAUUGUAAAAUUUUAUUGUAAAAUAAAUAAAAAAAAUUUGUAAAAAUAAAAAAUUACCAAUUCCCUUGCUAAAAAGCCAUGUGGGGAAAACAAGUAAUGUUUUUGUCUUUGAGGUAUACCUUCUGUUUCUUAUGUUCUUCUUUGAUGGAACUUCAAUGACAAAAUUAAAUAUUAGGAAAUGUUAUGUUAACCUUGUCCACAUAUCCUGUACAGUCUGGGUUGUGUAUAAUACCUUGCUUAAAUUUUUGGCAAAUCCACUCCUGGUUUACAAACACCUAGCUCCUAGCGGAAAUCUGCUGUAGCUUGGAGAAGGUAAUGAAAGAAACCACGACUGUAACUUCAGAUGCUGUAGGCAGAACCCGGUGCAAUGACUGCCUCAGGAUAUUGCAGAAGAACAAGCAACGACAACAGCAACUGUCAAUACUGUCAGCCUCAGGGACUCCAAAAUGAGUGUCUGCUGCUUAAACAGGAUAGUCAUUGGCUUAGGACAAGGAUUAGCUAAGUUCUCUGGAGAAGACAAGACUGGCUUCAGAUGUUUCCAACCAGCAUGACAAUUUCAGGCUUUGUGCUCAUCUCAACCUCAUUGCUUUCAGCAUCCCUGGGCCGCAGCAAUACUGUAGCCUUUCCCUGAAUCCAGCGUGUUGUUUGCAUAAGCCCCUGCUUAAACCUCAUGUUAGACCUAUGAGAAUAUACCUGGUGCACCUCUGGAUUCAUGAGCAUGACCACAGUUAUAGAGUUGAAUGCACAAAUGGUCCCUUUACUUGCAUACCAUGAAGGCACAGGCUAAAGCCAGGUAACACUGCGACGUACGGGCAUGAGGCUCUCAGAAAUUAUCUCAGUGCUCUUGGAUAUUCUGCGCUUUUAAGUUAUUUGGUAUUAGCUGUGACCAAAUACUUAAAAUAAAUACAAAAUGUGUCCAUUAAAUACCAAUUGACUGCAGAAGCAAUUGAAAGCGUCCACAGUACCCUUCUCUUCUGCCACGUGCUGUGUAAAAUGUUUCUGUGUCACGGUUCAGACCCCAGAGGGAUGUGAUGUAUAUGACAAGUAGCUCAUUGUGAACAACGGGUCAGGUAGAGUUGAGAGCUCUGAAUCCAUUACCUUUCAGGGUCACUGAGCUGCAGGUUGUAAGGAAAACACCUUGCACAUCAUACCGCUGGAAUAAUAAUAGGAAUGAAUAGAGGUGGAAAAGGUAUACACAAAACAAACAGAUACAGUAUGCAAGUAUUAAACCUCUUGCUGAACAGGAAAAACAGAACAAGAAUAUCAAAGCCAUACUCUGGAAGUUCUUUUACUACUAAAGGCAAAUGGGUCUUUGAAUCAUUGCUGGCAGAGGCAGCAGAGGAAAACCUGUAGAUAGGAGGAACAAAGAACCACAACCAAAAAUAGAAGAAUCCAUAUUUCCUUUGAUUUAUGUGCUUUAUGAAGCACAGAGGGCACUGCACUCUCUCCAGGACCAUCACUCACAUUUCCUAAUUCUCACCUCAUGCUACAGGCCAAGGAACAGUCAGUCAAGCCCGAGCAGGGGAAAACGGUAACCAGAACACAUCAGCUGUGAAAAUCUUUAGCCAUGAGUAGGCAGGUGCAUGGUUUGCAACCAAGGAGCAUUUUUGCCUUGAUAAGCAGUGUUAUUCUGUGCAGAGUCACCAACAGAGUGCAUUUAUUGGGUUGAGGCAGUGCUUAAUACAUGCCAUCAAUACCUUUUAGGCAGUGGACAGCGCUCUAGCAGCUGCUGUUCUGUAUUUUCCUGCCAGAAACAUAGUACCGAGAAGGUAGCUAGUCAUCUCCACUCCUGUGCUGUCAAUGAAGGUCUCAGAGUUUUUUAACUGAUUAGGUUUCAGUUCACCAUGCCUAAUUUUAGGCACCGAAAUAACAUGCCUAACAGUCCCCCCAUAUAUUCAGAGGCUCUGAGUCCAUUUCUGAGAUGCCUCAAAAUUUAAUGACCUCUGCCAGUAUCUAUCCCUCCCUGCUGCUUAUAGAAGGCUAGUGCAAAUAGGGUCCCAGUGUAAAAACUUCUAGAUCCCUUACAGUAAACUUCCUGUUCUGUUCUACUUCAGGAUAUCACUGUGUCAAAGGUUUCUGUGAUACCAUGCUCCUGUUCUUAUUUGCUUACUCUUAAAAGAGCAGCUCCUCUGUCUGGGGUCCUUCACCCUCAAGGAUAAUAGAAAAGUUGUAGUUGCACCUUGGAAUUAAAGAAGACAUCUUCUCCUACCAACUGCUUUCAGUAAGUGAUUAGGAAAAGUUUUCUUCCUAGUAUCAAAGGAUUAAUACAUGGGGCAUUGUAGAGGAAUGAAGGCAGUGGGUUGGUUAGCAUUCGUAACAUGCAGCUGUGGCCUUGCCUCAGAGGCAGUGGGUUGAUUGACAUGGACGAUGUGCAGCUGUAGCUCGUUCCUGCUAAGUGGUUAAAUAACUCUGAGGAGUGGGUGAGAGAAGGUGCUGGCUGGAGGAGGAGCAGCGUGGUCUGGUCUGGUCUGGAAGGAGAAACAGUGUGGCCAGUAGAAUCUGACUGAUGGUAAAAGCCUUGUUGCAGCCUGAUAUCCUUGCUUGUGUGGCAACAAUUGGUGCCCCGUGUGAGGCUGACUGAGUUGGGCUUUGACUACAACAACUGGUGCCCAAUGUAGCUGAGCCAAGCGGCAGAACCUGCGACCCAUAACAGACACUGUGAGAGGUGAGCCAAUGGGUGCAUUGCAAUAUUUGUUGUCUGUCUUAACUCAAAUUGCAGCUGGGCAUCAGGCACUGAACUGGCUUUAGCUGAAAAGACCACACAUGUGAAAUCCAUGGCUAAAAUCAAGGCAUUAUUAAUGCCAUGAACCUUUACAUCUCACAACACUUUCAUAGGUGAUCAAGUUAUUCUACAAACAGGCAAAACAUAACAAACACACUUGAGACCACACUCAGACACACUUGAGCCUUCUUUCCAUGAUUACAUACUCCGUUUUCUGACACUAAAUGCUCACCACUUCAGAGAGGUACUGCAGUGCUUUUCUGCUCUAUCCUUUUCUUAAGUUCUUACACCCUUCUCUUUCACUAGUCGCAGCACAUGUCAUCUUAACCUGUACUUUGUCACGCUCGCUGAUGCUUUUCUCUCCUGGGCAAAACAGGGGAUGCCAAUCUGCCCCCCUGUACUCUGCUGCCGGCUCUUCAGGUGGUGCCAGCCAUGGCUGAGCGUGGGCAGAGCGGCAGGGGGUGUGAGUGCCAGGGGUCAGCAAGACAGCCCACCUCUCCCCUGUGCUGCGGGACAUUGCCUUUGUGCAUCAGACACCCGAUGGCUGUCUCCCAGCAUCAGCCUCCAGCUGAAACACAGACACCCCGGCGGACACUCUGUGAGAGCGGAAUUAACUCCUGAUCUCUGCAAAAAAAAAAUGAUACCGCUAAAAGUAGAAGAGAUAUCAGACAAUCCUCAAAUUAAUGGUAAGGAGUCAAACUAGACCAUUUUUGGUUUUUUGUGGUUUGUUUUUUUUUUAUUGGCUGUGGUUUAUAUUUAGGGUUCUGUGUAUGUUGCCACUGACUGUCCACAAGUGAUUGUCACUGCUCAUCAAAAGAACCUUUGAUCAGUGAUGCCCGCUUGCUAUGAUUAUCGCCAUUCAGAAACAUACAGCUCCAUUUUGACACAAAAUACAGAUAAUGUAACAGCUUGGCCUUGCUAUUUUCCGGGGAACCCAAGAUGUUCUUCCACCAAGUUUGCUGUGACACAGUAAAAACAUCUCAAUUUAUUCUAAGUGGCCUCAUCUCACAGGCCAAAGGCAGUGUUCUUCCAUGGUUGGAGGCACACCAUCAGACGAUCUUUUGCAAGAUAUUAUGUAUAUCAAUGAUAUUAUGUAUAAUACAAAGAAAAAACUUAAAUGUGUGCUUUUUCUAGUAUGAUUUAUUUUCAUUUGGAAAGUACUGAAAUAUUCCCCUUGCAAUAUUCUGAGAGCACAUGCAGUGCAAUUAAUAUGGUAGCUAUGCCUCUGAACAGGGAAGAAAAUACUUGUUUUAUAGAAGUGUGAAUAUGUUUUGAGCAAGGUAAAAUUAUAUCUGUAUAUUUGGGGGGGAAUUCAAUACUAAUCCCAUCUGGACCUGAUGUUUUACUGAAAUGAGAUCAUCAAUUACUGUCUGUGUUUCCUCAUGAGGUAAUGUUUUAUUUAAAUUGUUCCUGAUUUCUUCUGACAGUUUAGGCAAAGGUAAUUUUCAUAAAAAGGACUUUUACUGCUUUCAGCUUUUUUCCUCAAUAUAUAAUUCCUAAUAGAAUUUUUGAGGCACUGGUGAUUCUCUAAUUUUAUCUCUCUCUGAUGUGUAUGCAUGCAUAACACAGCCCCUGAAACCUUUACUUUCUUGAGUUGUGAUUAAGUGUGAUAUUAGUCAUCUAGAUUACAGCAAAUUCAAGAAGUAGUCUUAGAUAUAUCUAUAUAUCUAUGUAUAUCUCUGCAUGAAUUCCUCCUUCACUUCUUUGCUAAGAAAAAAAAUUACUGUUUUGUUUCCCAACUCUAAAAAUAAAGGAUAGGUCUAUCAGUUACCAUCAUCGAUCUCCUUAAAGCGUGGCUUGCUUCUAAACUAAGUUGGACAUCCCCUAGCUGUCACUUUCUCUGCUACCUAACCUUGUAUAGCAUCCACAGAACUUGUGGUACCUCCCCAGAAGUGUGUUCAUACCAAAGCUUGAAGAGGCGAAGUCCAAGAGGAAAGGUCUUUGUGCUGGAAUUACUAUUAUUGUUAUCACAGACUUUGUUUCCAAGUGAGAACAGGUGAUUGAAAUGCAGUAAUUUCUAUGCUGAAAGCAAAAUAGGAGGUGUAGAACAAGUGGAGUUACAUAUUAUUUUCCUGUCAGCAACAAAAUAUCACUUCAACAAUAAAUUUUACUGCAGAGUGAGUAAAAGAAACCCACACGUGAAUGCAAGAAACUGCCUUCCAAUAGCCUGUGUUCCAGAAAAGGCCUGAAUUCAGAGCUUAUUAAAACGUGUACUUAUGUACUUGGUUACGCAGCAGGAAAACAUUAUCCUAAUAUACUGCAGCAUAACUGAAGAAACUUUCACUGAAAUGAUGGGAACUAAGGACAAAUGAGACAAUCGUAUGAAUAAAAAAAGAUGUAAGCCAGAAGGCAAUCUGGUGGUAUCAUCUGUAAACUUCCCUCUGGCUACAGAUGUAUGGGGGAGGUCUCUCUGGGUUUGCUGAAGCAUUACUGGGCUGUGAGGCCCCCACCUCACCCCAGGUGUCACUCAGUCGAUUCAAGGUUCAGACCAUACUGUGACAUCUGUUCUGGGAGAUGAGCAUGCUGCUCAGGUCAAAUGGUGAGUCCCCGCUAGCCCAUGGUGACUUCUG